rnacentral:tRNA from 1 species
GCAUUGGUGGCUCAGGGGUUAAGCACUUGAUUUGCAAUCUACAGGUCCCGGGUUUGAAUCCCGCCAGAUACC